GGUGAUAAACCGGAGGAAGGUGGGGAUGACGUCAAGUCAUCAUGGCCCUUACGAGUAGGGCUACACACGUGCUACAAUGGCAGAUACAAAGUGAAGCGAACUCGCGAGAGCAAGCGGACCACAUAAAGUCUGUCGUAGUCCGGAUUGGAGUCUGCAACUCGACUCCAUGAAGUCGGAAUCGCUAGUAAUCGUAGAUCAGAAUGCUACGGUGAAUACGUUCCCGGGCCUUGUACACACCGCCCGUCACACCAUGGGAGUGGGUUGCAAAAGAAGUAGGUAGCUUAACCUUCGGGAGGGCGCUUACCACUUUGUGAUUCAUGACUGGGGUGAAGUCGUAACAAGGUAACCGUAGGGGAACCUGCGGUUGGAUCACCUCCUUA
rnacentral:rRNA from 1 species